UACACUCCUACGGGAGGCAGCAGUGGGGAAUUUUGGACAAUGGGCGAAAGCCUGAUCCAGCAAUGCCGCGUGUGUGAAGAAGGCCUUCGGGUUGUAAAGCACUUUUGUCCGGAAAGAAAUCCUUGGCUCUAAUACAGUCGGGGGAUGACGGUACCGGAAGAAUAAGCACCGGCUAACUACGUGCCAGCAGCCGCGGUAAUACGUAGGGUGCGAGCGUUAAUCGGAAUUACUGGGCGUAAAGCGUGCGCAGGCGGUUUGCUAAGACCGAUGUGAAAUCCCCGGGCUCAACCUGGGAACUGCAUUGGUGACUGGCAGGCUAGAGUAUGGCAGAGGGGGGUAGAAUUCCACGUGUAGCAGUGAAAUGCGUAGAGAUGUGGAGGAAUACCGAUGGCGAAGGCAGCCCCCUGGGCCAAUACUGACGCUCAUGCACGAAAGCGUGGGGAGCAAACAGGAUUAGAAACCCUAGUAGUCCCAUGAU
rnacentral:rRNA from 1 species